rnacentral:rRNA from 1 species
CGCGUAGGUAUCUAUCCUCAGGUGGGGGACAACCGUGGGAAACUACGGCUAAUACCGCAUGAUAACUGAGGUUCAAAGGCGCAAGUCGCCUGGGGAGGAGCCUGCGUACGAUUAGCUAGUUGGUGGGGUAAAGGCCUACCAAGGCUACGAUCGUUAGCUGGUCUGAGAGGAUGAUCAGCCACAUUGGGACUGAGACACGGCCCAAACUCCUACGGGAGGCAGCAGUGGGGAAUAUUGGACAAUGGGCGAAAGCCUGAUCCAGCAAUGCCGCGUGUGUGAAGAAGGUCUUCGGAUUGUAAA